rnacentral:rRNA from 1 species
AGUGGGGAAUAUUGCACAAUGGGCGCAAGCCUGAUGCAGCGACGCCGCGUGAGGGAUGACGGCCUUCGGGUUGUAAACCUCUUUCACCAGGGACGAAGCGUGAGUGACGGUACCUGGAGAAGAAGCACCGGCCAACUACGUGCCAGCAGCCGCGGUAAUACGUAGGGUGCGAGCGUUGUCCGGAAUUACUGGGCGUAAAGAGCUCGUAGGCGGUUUGUCGCGUCGUCUGUGAAAUUCUGCAACUCAAUUGCAGGCGUGCAGGCGAUACGGGCAGACUUGAGUACUACAGGGGAGGCUGGAAUUCCUGGUGUAGCGGUGAAAUGCGCAGAUAUCAGGAGGAACACCGGUGGCGAAGGCGGGUCUCUGGGUAGUAACUGACGCUGAGGAGCGAAAGCGUGGGUAGCGAA